UACGAAGGGGGCUAGCGUUGUUCGGAAUUACUGGGCGUAAAGGGCGCGUAGGCGGCUAGUUUAGUCAGAGGUGAAAGCCCAGGGCUCAACCUUGGAAUUGCCUUUGAUACUGGCUAUCUUGAGUACGGAAGAGGUAUGUGGAACUCCGAGUGUAGAGGUGAAAUUCGUAGAUAUUCGGAAGAACACCAGUGGCGAAGGCGACAUGCUGGUCCGUUACUGACGCUGAGGCUCGAAAGCGUGGGGAGCAAACAGG
rnacentral:rRNA from 1 species